AAAUGCCGUUGGGAGCCUUCUCAGGUUGUAGAGAUGUUGGGUAUGGUGGUUGACCUACGCGUUGGAGCCAUCCGAGCCUCCGAAAAGCGUGUUAAAAAGCUUAAGUCGAUGCUCAGCACAAUGUCAGGUAGCAGGCAACCAUCAGCUAAGCUGGUAGCAAGGAUGACUGGAAUGAUAAUGUCCAUGUCGCUGGCCCUGGGCCAGAUUUGCAGGCUGAGGACUAGAGCAUUCUACCACAUGAUCCUAUUGAGGAAGUCAUGGGCAGCUCAAACAGUUUGGUCAAAGGAGGCAAUUGAUGACCUGAAGUUCUGGAAAGAAUCUUUUGACAAAUUGCAUGGCCAGCCUUUCUGGAAGAAGGACCCACGUGUUGUAGUUAUCUGUCGGUCAGAUGCCAGCGACACUGGCGGGGGAGGUUUCAUGGAGGGGAGGUUGGGUGUGCAUGUUGCGAAGGGUGAAUGGCCAGGUGAAAUCAAAGAAAAGAGACUAAGUUCUACUUGGCGUGAGCUUAGGGCUGUUAAGCUUGUUCUGGAGUCAUUGGCACCAAAGAUUGCUGGGAAGGCUUGCAUACAUCGCACAGACAACCAGGCAGCGGCACACAUUAUUGAAAACGGUAGCCGCAAAGAGCAUCUGCAAGAGGAAGCUAUAGGCAAUACACAAAUUGUGCAGGCGUUUUAGCGUGAGGAUUAGGGCAGAAUGGGUACCUCGGGAAGAGAACGAGCUGGCUGAUUAUUAUUCGAAGGUUGUUGACCAAGACGAUUGGCAAUUGAACCCUGCAUUAUUCCGGGAAAUGGAAGGGAGAUGGGGCCCCUACAGCCUAGAUUGUUUUGCCAGUUUUAAGACUAAGCAGCUCAGUAAGUACUGCUCCCGGUGGUGGAACCCAGAGUGCUUUGCGAUUGAUGCGUUCACAGUGGAUUGGUCCAUUGAAAGGGUGUGAAUGGUUCCCCCAAUCUACCUUAUUUCACGUACAAUCGAUAUGCUGCUAGCAUGCAGAACCCAUGGCACUCUCGUUGUACCAGAGUGGCGGUCAGCCCCAUGGUGGCCAAAAUUGCAUGACGGUGCUGCGUGGUACGGAUUUGUGAAAGAGUGCGUGUGGUUGCCAAAGGAUGAGAAUACAUUCUUGCAGGGGUCAUGCCCAUGGAAUUUGUUUGGUUACGGCAUGCCGAAGUCCGAGAUCAUUGCUUUGAAAUUGUGCGCAGUUAGUGGCUGUGAUUGCUGACAGCAUACCUGGCGCGUGUUUGUAUGCGGGAGAGCCUGAGUAUGUCUGACGGUGCAUGAAAUGAGAGCUUGCGGAAGUUUGCCUCCAUGCUACAGGUGCGGUAGGGCAAGUGCUAUAGGCACACAUACAGCUAUAAGCUCCCCGGUUAACACGUACAGAUGUAUCAACUCGAAGUUGCACCCAGAGCACUAGCUUCGCAAAGAGGCAUACAUGGACACUACAGGUGUUAACCCGAGCAGCAGGCAUGAUAAGGGUGAAAGCUACAGGCUUACAAUUAUGACCCAAGGUGCUGCGGCAGAGCCAGCCGAGCGCGGACGCUACAAGCAAUCGAGCUAAGGGGGAGGAGGCAGUCAGUGGCGCAGAAGUAAUCAUGCUGUUCUCCGACUGUGUGCUACAGGCAAGUAAAGUCAACAGCCAGAACGCAUGUCUCGCUGCUUGGCAGUCUAUAUGCCGCCAGCUAUGCUUUGUGCUUCUUGGAGCAGCUGUUGCUGCGACCCUGCAGUUCUGUUGUUGUUGUGGUGUGUACGAGAGAGUCGAAAAGAAAUGCCUCAUUUCUUGUUGGAUGAGAGCAACGAAGUAAACAAGAAAUGCUGUUCUUUUCGAAACGCGAGUGCACAGUCCAGAGUUCACGGACUGUGCUGGGAGUGCGGUACGCACUGGCUGCACAGUGCGGAGUUGCAGCAUGCACAUGAAGGUGCAUGCUGGUCUGAAGACAGUGUUCUUUUUGUUCUUGCACUGCUGCUGUACAGUUGCGAAUCCCACCCACCCACCCAAUUGGAUAGUCAUUGCUAGAUAUGUAUGUGCAUAUGGAUUUAUUGGCUGAGUAAGCAGUAGUGCGUGUAUGUGGCGAGCAUGUUUCCGUGUGUGGGCCAAUUUCAGAUAAUUCUGUAUUAAGGUAGCACAUUGGCUUUAUUUAGACUGGCCCAUUUGGGGUUAUUCAGCAUCUCCACCAUUGUCGCUGGCGGCAAUUCCCAUUAAUCAGUGCACUAGGCCGUGGUGAACGCAUUUCGAUCGGAGGUUCAUGUAUCCAUUGUCCCAUGGCUUGGAUCGUGUACUGUCUUGCGUUGUUUUCCUUUUGUUAUGCUAAAGUGAUGUGUACCAGGCUGCCAUGAUUAUGUUUAAAUGCUGUGUGCCUGUGGCAUAGUAAUAUUAAUACACAUGCGGUGCAAGAAUUGGAGCAGCUGUUGCUGCGACCCUGCA